GUAACCUACGGGACGCAGCAGUGAGGAAUAUUGGUCAAUGGGCGGGAGCCUGAACCAGCCAAGUCGCGUGAAGGAAGAAGGUACUUAGUAUUGUAAACUUCUUUUGUCGGGGAACAAAGGCGGGGACUAGUCCCCGGAUGAGGGUACCUGAAGAAAAAGCAUCGGCUAACUCCGUGCCAGCAGCCGCGGUAAUACGGAGGAUGCGGGCGUUAUCCGGAUUUAUUGGGUUUAAAGGGUGCGCAGGCGGCCUGUUAAGUCAGCGGUAAAAGCCCGGGGCUCAACCCCGGCGAGCCGUUGCAACUGGG
rnacentral:rRNA from 1 species